UACGUAGGUGGCAAGCGUUGUCCGGAAUUAUUGGGCGUAAAGCGCGCGCAGGCGGUCCCUUAAGUCUGAUGUGAAAGCCCACGGCUCAACCGUGGAGGGUCAUUGGAAACUGGGGGACUUGAGUGCAGAAGAGGAAAGCGGAAUUCCACGUGUAGCGGUGAAAUGCGUAGAGAUGUGGAGGAGCACCAGUGGCGAAGGCGGCUUUCUGGUCUGUAACUGACGCUGAGGCGCGAAAGCGUGGGGAGCAAACAGG
rnacentral:rRNA from 1 species